CCUACGGGUGGCAGCAGUGAGGAAUAUUGGUCAAUGGACGAAAGUCUGAACCAGCCAAGUAGCGUGAAGGAUGACGGCCCUAUGGGUUGUAAACUGCUUUUAUGUGGGGAUAAAAUGCUCCACGUGUGGGGUUUUGUAGGUACCAUAUGAAUAAGGAUCGGCUAACUCCGUGCCAGCAGCCGCGGUAAUACGGAGGAUCCGAGCGUUAUCCGGAUUUAUUGGGUUUAAAGGGAGUGUAGGUGGAAUGUUAAGUCAGUUGUGAAAUUUUGUGGCUCAACCGUAAAAUUGCAGUUGAAACUGGCAGUCUUGAGUACAGUAGAGGUGGGCGGAAUUCGUGGUGUAGCGGUGAAAUGCUUAGAUAUCACGAAGAACUCCGAUUGCGAAGGCAGCUCACUGGACUGCAACUGACACUGAGGCUCGAAAGUGUGGGUAUCAAACAGGAUUAGAUACCCUAGUAGUC
rnacentral:rRNA from 1 species